ensembl:lncRNA
AGAGAGAGCUGUGGGGGACAAAGAGAGAGCUGUGGGGGACAAAGAGAGAGCUGUGGGGGACAAAGAGAGAGCUGUGGGGGGGACAAAGAGAGAGCUCUGUGGGGGACAAAGACAGAGCCGUAGGGGACAAAGAGAGAGCUGUGGGGGACAAAGAGAGAGCUGUGGGGGACAAAGACAGAGCCGUAGGGGACAAAGAGAGAGCUGUGGGGGACAAAGAGAGAGAGCUGUGGGGGACAAAGAGAGAGCUGUGGGGGACAAAGAGAGAGCUGUGGGGGGACAAAAGAGAGAGCUGUGGGGGACAAAGAGAGCUGUGGGGGACAAAGAGAGAGAGCUGUGGGGGACAAAGAGAGAGCUGUGGGGGAC